UUUAGGGAUCAGUUUGAAGGCUUCUGAAUCCACCUGCAAAGACAGUAUGUGAAAGGUUGGCCUGGAUUCACGUAUGGGCUGUGGUAUUUGUUAAAAUUCUUACCUUCAUCUGAAGCAUGUAUUUGAUGCUGGUGGUCUUGUUUCUUCUUUGUAUUGGUUCUUUUUUCUGCUGGCUCCUUUUACUUUAUCGUGGUUAAUUCUUUUGCAUAUGUAGGACUUGUUUUGUAAGUACUAUUUUUGGGGAAUAAUAAUUUAUCAGCCUUGGACUACAUUUAGUUCACAUUGGAGGAAACUCAAAUUUGUGCUAAUAUCGUCUCUUCUCGCUGUAGGGAACACAAGUAAAAGUUAGAAGACCAACUGAUUAUAACCCCUCUCUGGCUGCAACACUUGGUCCGAGCCAACCGAAUCCAAACCUUGACCUUGCUGCAGUGGGAUUAUCACCAGGAUCCACUGGUGGGCUUGAAGGUCCUGACCGUAUUUUUGUGGGAGGCCUGCCAUACUAUUUCACUGAAGCCCAGAUUAGGGAGUUGCUCGAGUCCUUUGGCCCUCUUCGGGGGUUUAAUCUGGUCAAAGAUAAAGAAACUGGAAACUCGAAAGGCUAUGCCUUUUGUGUUUACUCUGACGUGUCGGUUACAGAUAUUGCAUGUGCAGCUCUUAAUGGGAUUAAGAUGGGUGAUAAAACUCUUACUGUCAGACGUGCAAGUCAAGAUACUUUACAGCCUAAGCCAGAGCAGGAGAGUAUAUUAAUGCAUGCUCAGCAACAAAUAGCACUGCAGAGAGUCAUGCUACAACCUGGUGGACCUCCUACUAAAGUCUUAUGCCUAACAAAUGUGGUUAGCGCACAUGAGCUCAAAGAUGCUAUUCAAUCUGUGUUGCUUUUUGUUUCUUUCCUUUGCUUGUUUGAACAAUUUGUUCUAGGCUGUCAAAUUCUUAUACUGUUUCUUAAGGGGAAAUGUCGACUGAUCUUUGGGCCUGUGGCUUGUUUGUGGCGUUUGAUUUGCAGAGACUCAUGCUACAACCUGGUGGACCUCCUACUAAAGUCUUAUGCCUAACAAAUGUGGUUAGCGCAGAUGAGCUCAAAGAUGAUGAAGACUAUGAAGAUAUAGUGGAAGAUAUGAGAACUGAAUGCGGGAAAUUUGGUAAAUACAUUCAGUUACUUCAGAUGCAUCAAGCUAGUCUUGUUCUUUCCUUUUAUCACUCAAGCUUUAUAUUUAAUAGUUCUUUUAUGUUUUUAUGUGGCAUAAAUCUUUGCAAGUCUUUAAUAUCAUGAGCUUAGCCAUAAAUAUAAUUGGCUUAAUUUAUUUUUGG
rnacentral:lncRNA from 1 species